rnacentral:rRNA from 1 species
UACAGAGGGUGCGAGCGUUAAUCGGAAUUACUGGGCGUAAAGCGUGCGUAGACGGUUAUUUAAGUCGGGUGUGAAAGCCCCGGGCUCAACCUGGGAAUUGCAUUCGAGACUGAAUAGCUAGGGUACGGUAGAGGGAAGUGGAAUUUCCGGUGUAGCGGUGAAAUGCGUAGAUAUCGGAAGGAACAAUCAGUGGCGAAGGCAGCCCCCUGGGCUGAC